UGAAGGGUAGACACUCACAACUUGCUCUGGAAGGAGGCCGGCGGGCCACUGUCACCUGCUCCUCUGCACAGGUGCUGACCCCACGGUCGAUUCCAGGCCUGCUGACGGGGUAGCAGGAAGGCUGGGCCUUUGUGUGCAACAGAGAAGGCUUUUCCAAGGCCUGAGCCGGCUGCCUCCAGCAGCCACAGGAAGCAGAAGAAAGAAGAGGUGAAAGGCCACGGUUUUAGCUGAGCACAUAGCUUCCCAGAAUAAAGACAGCAUGUGCAGUCUCCCUAACAGAUAAGUGUGGCCACAUGACCAAGUUCUGGCCAAUGAAAUACAUGUUUAUACACGGUUCCAGUUCAGAUGGCAUUUACAGUCACCCUAAAUGAGCAGAUAUGUGCACUUCCAGAAAGUUCCCUCAGAAGGAGAAUUGCUCUCCUCCCCUUCUUCCACUCUGCUGACUGAAAGGUGGAUGUGGCAGCUGGAGUUUGGAUGGCGCCCUGGAGCAUGAGAAGAAAAUGGAGUGGAAACCAUGCUCGGCAGUGCCACAGGCAUCCUGGAGUUCACACCACGGAGAUGCAUCGGUCUGCAGGGGGAAUGAAACAGAUGUGCAGAAAGCACCACGCAGAAAGACAAGAGACCAUGAGGCCCCGUGAGAAAUGAGAGGGUAGGAGCCUUCAUAUCUAACUUUCUAUUCCAGUUCCCGUGGGUCCUCUGGUCUUCAUUUCCUGUCUUGAGGUACUGCUUGGGUAGAUUUUCUUAUGAUAACUUAGUGUUCAUUGCAACCACAC